rnacentral:lncRNA from 1 species
AAUGAAAUGCUUUGAAAUCUAUAUAGACGGAUAGAUAAUAUAAGAUAUAUUACUUUAAAAUCUAUGUAUAUAGAUGGAUGAUAAAGAUAGAACAUUUUGAGAUCUACGUAGGUAGAUGAAUAAUAAAAAAUAGAGUGCUUUGAGAUCUGUAGAGAUGGAUGGAUGAUAGAGAACGGAGUAUUUUAAGAGCUAUAUAGACGAAUAGAUGAUAAAAGACAGAGCAUUUUGAGAUUUAUGUAAAUAUAAUGGAUGACAAAAGAUAGAGUACUUUGAGAUCUAUGCAGAUGGAUGGUAGAGGAUAGAGGAUGGAGUAUUUUGAGAUCUAUAUAAAUGGAUGGAUGAUAGAGGAUGGAGUACUUUGAGA